rnacentral:rRNA from 1 species
ACUCCUACGGGAGGGCAGCAGUAGGGGAAUCUUCCACAAUGGGCGGCAAGCCUGAUGGAGCAACACCGCGUGAGUGAAGAAGGGUUUCGGCUCGUAAAGCUCUGUUGUUAAAGAAGAACACGUAUGAGAGUAACUGUUCAUACGUUGACGGUAUUUAACCAGAAAGUCACGGCUAACUACGUGCCAGCAGCCGCGGUAAUACGUAGGUGGCAAGCGUUAUCCGGAUUUAUUGGGCGUAAAGAGAGUGCAGGCGGUUUUCUAAGUCUGAUGUGAAAGCCUUCGGCUUAACCGGAGAAGUGCAUCGGAAACUGGAUAACUUGAGUGCAGAAGAGGGUAGUGGAACUCCAUGUGUAGCGGUGGAAUGCGUAGAUAUAUGGAAGAACACCAGUGGCGAAGGCGGCUACCUGGUCUGCAACUGACGCUGAGACUCGAAAGCAUGGGGUA